UCGAGUCCCUGAUUUCACACUGCCAAGAAAAGCCUCUAGCGAGGCGGGAGGUGCCCGUACCGCAAACCGACACAGGUAGUCGAGGCGAGUAGCCUCAGGUGAGCGAGAGAACUCUCGUUAAGGAACUCGGCAAAAUGACCCCGUAACUUCGGGAGAAGGGGUGCUGACUUUAAGUCAGCCGCAGUGAAUAGGCCCAAGCGACUGUUUAUCAAAAACACAGGGCUCUGCGAAGUCGCAAGACGACGUAUAGGGUCUGACGCCUGCCCGGUGCUGGAAGGUUAAGAGGAGUGCUUAGCGUAAGCGAAGGUAUGAAUUGAAGCCCCAGUAAACGGCGGCCGUAACUAUAACGGUCCUAAGGUAGCGAAAUUCCUUGUCGGGUAAGUUCCGACCCGCACGAAAGGCGUAAUGAUUUGGGCACUGUCUCAACGAGAGACUCGGUGAAAUCAUAGUACCUGUGAAGAUGCAGGUUACCCGCGACAGGACGGAAAGACCCCAUGGAGCUUUACUGCAGUUUGAUAUUGAGUGUCUGUACCACAUGUACAGGAUAGGUAGGAGUCUAUGAGAUCGGGACGCCAGUUUCGAAGGAGACGUUGUUGGGAUACUACCCUUGUGUU
rnacentral:rRNA from 13 species